CACACUGAUAAAAUAGGGAGAGCGGCGCACCGUCGAUGCGACUAGACAGACACAGAAUAGUUAGAAGACACAGAAUAGUUAGAAUCAAGACUGAGUAGUGAACCGUUGCCUAGUGUUUCCGUUUUGUCCAGUAAAAUAGAAAUUGAUGAAAACCAAAAGCUUAACAAAAAUUAACAAAAACAAACAACCAGACGAAGAACAAAACUUUUCUAACCCUUGAGAAAGAUUGAAUAAACAAUCGAAACGUCGGGCGUAGAAACAAUGCUCUAGUUCUGACCGCUUCAAAGACUGAAAGCCGAAAAAGUUUCCCGGUACAAAAACGAUGUAUGGACUAAAUUUUCGUUACACAAAGGAGAAAAAGCAAAUUAAUUUAGUCACGUAAAACAAUGUAAAAUUACAUGACUUUUGUAUGUAAAAUCGUAAAAAUAUCGUGUUUUUUCGUGAUUUUUCAACUAAAAUUAUUGAAUAACUUCGAAAUACGCAAUUUAAACACCGUAGUAUCUUCGUCAAAGUUGUAGAGUAUUGUUCUAACUAUAUCCUAACGGUAUUUUCGGAGCAAUUUUCUAAAUUUAUGAGUAAAUUUCUGUGAAAACGGUUAAAAAACACAAAAUCGAUUUGAUACACCUUUAAAUCUUUAUCAAUUUGGCUCAUUUUUGGAUUAAAGACUUGUUUUUGUAUGUGGAUUGAUAAUUUGA